CGCGGUGGGAUCUCUCCAUCACCACUACAGCUGCAAGCAGAGGAUCCCUCCACUGCCACUGCAGUCACGAGCAGAGGAUCCUGCCACCGUCCGUACAGUGCUCGGGUGGCGGCGGCGGCAAACCGCUGUGUACAAUGCAUGCGUGGUGUCACACGCAUGUGCUGUACGUAGCGACGCCACACAUGCGCCCUACAUAGCGACGCCACACAUGCGUCGUACGUAGUGGCGCAACGCGUGUGCAAUUGGCAGUUUGCCCCGCCCCGGGUGUUGGUUAGCCUUCGUUCGCCCCGGCAUCACAGACAC